GAUGAACGCUGGCGGCGUGCCUAAUACAUGCAAGUCGAACGAGGUGCUUUUGUAGCAAUACGAAAGUAUCCUAGUGGCGAACGGGUGAGUAACGCGUUGGUGACCUACCCCAAAGUGUGGGAUAACAGUUCGAAAGAACUGCUAAUACCGCAUGUGGUUAUCGGGUUUAGAAACUGAUAACUAAAGGAGCAAUUCGCUUUGGGAGGGACCUGCGUCCCAUCAGCUAGUUGGUGAGGUAACGGCUCACCAAGGCUACGACGGGUAGGGGACCUGAGAGGGUGGCCCCCCACAAUGGAACUGAAACACGGUCCAUACACCUACGGGUGGCAGCAGUAGGGAAUAUUGCACAAUGGGCGAAAGCCUGAUGCAGCAACGCCGCGUGUGCGAUG
rnacentral:rRNA from 1 species